GAACGCUGGCGGCGUGCUUAACACAUGCAAGUCGAACGGUGAACUCCGCUUGCGGGGGGAUCAGUGGCGAACGGGUGAGUAACACGUGGGCAACCUGCCCUCAGCUCUGGGAUAACUCCAAGAAAUUGGGGCUAAUACCGGAUAUGACCGCUGACCGCAUGGUCUGGUGGUGGAAAGAUUUAUCGGCUGGGGAUGGGCCCGCGGCCUAUCAGCUUGUUGGUGGGGUAGUGGCCUACCAAGGCGACGACGGGUAGCCGGCCUGAGAGGGUGACCGGCCACACUGGGACUGAGACACGGCCCAGACUCCUACGGGAGGCAGCAGUGGGGAAUAUUGCGCAAUGGGCGAAAGCCUGACGCAGCGACGCCGCGUGGGGGAUGACGGCCUUCGGGUUGUAAACCUCUUUCAGCAGGGACGAAGCGAAAGUGACGGUACCUGCAGAAGAAGCACCGGCCAACUACGUG
rnacentral:rRNA from 1 species